rnacentral:rRNA from 1 species
AACGAACGCUGGCGGCAUGCCUAACACAUGCAAGUCGAACGAGACCUUCGGGUCUAGUGGCGCACGGGUGCGUAACGCGUGGGAACCUGCCCUUAGGUUCGGAAUAACUCCCUGAAAGGGGUGCUAAUACCGGAUAAUGUCUUCGGACCAAAGAUUUAUCGCCUUUGGAUGGGCCCGCGUUGGAUUAGCUAGUUGGUAGGGUAAAAGCCUACCAAGGCGACGAUCCAUAGCUGGUCUGAGAGGAUGAUCAGCCACACUGGGACUGAGACACGGCCCAGACUGCUGCGGGUGGCAGCAGUGGGGAAUAUUGGACGAUGGGCGGAAGCCUGAUCCAGCAAUGCCGCGUGAGUGAUGAAGGCCUUAGGGUUGUAAAGCUCUUUUACCCGGGAUGAUAAUGACAGUACCGGGAGAAUAAGCUCCGGCUAACUCCGUG